rnacentral:rRNA from 1 species
UACGUAGGGUGCGAGCGUUGUCCGGAAUUAUUGGGCGUAAAGGGCUCGUAGGCGGUUUGUCACGUCGGGAGUGAAAACUCGGGGCUUAACCCCGAGCCUGCUUCCGAUACGGGCUGACUAGAGGUAUGCAGGGGAGAACGGAAUUCCUGGUGUAGCGGUGAAAUGCGCAGAUAUCAGGAGGAACACCGGUGGCGAAGGCGGUUGCCUGGAGCUUUGCUGACGCUGAGGCGCGAAAGCGUGGGGAGCGAUCCGG